rnacentral:rRNA from 1 species
UGGGGAAUAUUGGACAAUGGGGGGAACCCUGAUCCAGCCAUGCCGCGUGUGUGAAGAAGGCCUUAUGGUUGUAAAGCACUUUAAGCGAGGAGGAGGGUACUGGUAUUAAUACUACCAGGUACUGGACGUUACUCGCAGAAUAAGCACCGGCUAACUCUGUGCCAGCAGCCGCGGUAAUACAGAGGGUGCGAGCGUUAAUCGGAAUUACUGGGCGUAAAGCGUGCGUAGGCGGCUAAUUGAGUCGGAUGUGAAAUCCCCGAGCUUAACUUGGGAAUUGCAUUCGAUACUGGUUAGCUAGAGUGUGGGAGAGGAUGGUAGAAUUCCAGGUGUAGCGGUGAAAUGCGUAGAGAUCUGGAGGAAUACCGAUGGCGAAGGCAGCCAUCUGGCCUAACACUGACGCUGAGGUACGAAAGCAUGGGGAGCAAACAGG